rnacentral:snoRNA from 1 species
UCUCAGUGAUGAACAACACGGAUGACGAGUCUGAUAAUCCAUUCUUUUAAAAUGUAUGAAGACAAAUCGAGGCAUUUGUUUGAGAGGA